AACGAACGCUGGCGGCAUGCCUAACACAUGCAAGUCGAACGAAACCUUCGGGCUUAGUGGCGCACGGGUGCGUAACGCGUGGGAACCUGCCCUUAGGUUCGGAAUAACUCCCUGAAAGGGGUGCUAAUACCGGAUAAUGUCUUCGGACCAAAGAUCUAUCGCCUGUGGAUGGGCCCGGGUUGGAUUAGCCAGUUGGUAGGGUAAAAGCCUACCAAGGCGACGAUCCAUAGCUGGUCUGAGAGGAUGAACAGCCACACUGGGACUGGGACACGGCCCAGACGCCUACGAGAGGCAGCAGAGGUGAAUAAUGGACAAGGAGCGAAAGCCUGAACCAGCAAGGCCGCGUGAGUGAUGAAGGCGUUAGGAUUGGAAAGCUCUUUUACCCGGGAUGAUAAUGACAGAACCGGGAGAAUAAGCCCCGCCUAACUCCUU
rnacentral:rRNA from 1 species